GUGGCUGCGCAUGCGCAGCCGCCCCCGACGGCUCGACGCAUGCGCAUAGCUGUAUAGCGGUGGCCGCGCAUGCGCACAGCGGUAGUAGCGCCCGGAGCGGCGGCGGCGGCGGCGGCGGCAUGCAGGCGGCCCUGGAAAUCACGGCCCGCUACUGCCGUAACGAGAUGGAGCAGUACGGACGGUGCGUGGCCGCCAGCCCGGCCUCUUGGCAAAGCGAUUGUCACCGUCUUCGCCUCAGUAUGUCCCGCUGCGCUGCCGCCCACCCGAUCGUGCAGCAGAUCCGCCAACGUUGCGCGGAGCCGUUCGCCGCCUUCGAGCAGUGUUUGAAGGAGAACCAAGCCUCCGUUGUGAACUGCAGCGACCACGUCAACGCUUUCCUGCUCUGCGCUGACCAGGUGAAGCUCUCCACGUGAGGAGACCGUGGGGAGCGCUGCCCUGAGCGGGGACGGGGACCGCGGGACGCGCAGAGCUACGGGGUGCAGCAGUAACGGGGCACGACGGCUCGGCAGGGCUGCUGCCCGCACCGGGACCGACAUCUACCUCCAUCCCACCCGAACCUGGCAACCGGGGCCAAGCGUUCCUGGCAAAAUGCCUCCGGUACCUCCGAAGGGUUUCGGAGCUCAGCAGCCCAGGUUGGGCAUGGAGAUAAGCUGGAGAUAAGAACUUGGCUUAAUUAAACUGUAGCCCCUGUCCGCGCCCUGCUAGACUUUUUGGGCGUAUCCCACUGCGGAUUGGGAGUAACAGAGCAUCCUCGCUGCAAGGGCUGAGGAUAAGUUCUCCUUUAAAGUAUUUUAAAGCAGGACUCAUUUUGGAAAGAGUGCAAAUGCUCGUACAAAACAGCCGUGGCCCAAGAGAUGGCCGGGACAGUAGUUCAGCGCAAGACUAAGCCUGCGUUAAGGAUUGAGAAGAGAAAAAGUAAACUUCUGCUAACAGCGACCUUAGGAGACAAAACUGAAUGUAAAAUUGCCACGACGAGUGAUCUACUGCGGAGAGGACGCCGAGCUAACGCGGUCAGCUUCUGAAUGCCUCUGUGGGGAUGCUCGUAAGGCAGAUACCGGUUAAACAUAAUCCAGAUUGAAAAAAAAUCUAAAGAGGUUUUUUUUUUUUAAACGGUGAAAGCUGUUAUGCUGUCACAUAACAGGAACCCGUUUAACUCGAGAAACUCACUGAGGGAGGUCUCCAGGUACAGACCAGCCUGAUUUGUGAUGGAGCGGGUAGCAAUAAAGAGAAGGGAAGUUAAAAGUUGUGAGAAGAAAGAAAAGACCAGAAAAGAAAAAAAAAAAAAGCAAUUGAAAGCCGGAGGGCCCAGGUCACAAACUGCAGCGUGGACUCUCCUAGUCCACGAAGCCACCAGCAAGUUGUACGCAAGCAGGCUGUGAUCCAAAAGUGACGCGGCAGCUUUGCUGCACUUCCCAGACUAAUUGGGAUUAUUGCUUUGAGCCCGAGUCUAGAUUAACGAGGCAGCUUUGGCAGUAGCCUAGCAAAGUCUGCACGGUCGUGCCGCCAGCUCAUCAACGGGCCAGCGCUGCGUGGCUGCUCGUUUCUCUGCCUAAACCGUCGCCCUAAAUUUACCGUAGCACCGAAAGUGAAUUACACCGCUCUUUGGGAUUAACGUCACCGCUUUAAAAGCAUAUCGUUAAUGAAACUUGUGCAUCUUUUUUUUUUUUUUUUUUAACAGGCGAGGCUGCUUUCUGGCUUCGCCUUUCUCCUGGCACCAGCGAAACCGCAUCCAGGAAUCGGGGGAAAAAGGGAUUUGGGACGGUGCUUCUCCUCGCAAGGCUGACCACCUCCGAUAUUACCGCGGCAAGACCUCGAUAAUGGCAAAAACCCCCUGUGUGAGCAGUCAAACGUGUGUGAAGCUGCCACCAAGAUAGUUAGGAUAAACUGUAAUUAACCACAUUUAAGCUUAAUUGCAUUAAGAGGGAGGGGGGAAAUGAAAGCUGGAAGCAGAUUAUGGAUCUGGCUUAUAAUUCAAUUUGUGCAACAGCUAGGAAAGAAGGGGCCGCAUUCUCCGGCAGCGUGUUAGCAACGCAGGAGGCGCGGAGCUCCUAGGUCUCCAGAGACCGUCGGUGAGCAGAACCAGAGGGAAAGACAGGGAGGAUUGGGAAGCAGAAGGUGGGAAAAUACUUUGGGAGAAGCAAGGGAGAAAGAGCAACUUAACUCCUGCCGGAGGGCUGGGUCGGAGGAUCUCGUUUUCGGGGUGCUGGGUGACACCAGCAACGCUCGUCCGACGUUGCCGGCUGUCACCCUUGGGUUUUAGCGUCUGGUUUCGCACCGACUUCUCAGAGAAGGAAGCAGAGGACGAAGGAACUGGAUGAUAGAUUGUAAGCGCUACGCUCGCUGUGUUAGACAAAUUUAGAAAUAAAAGAAAUGUGAUAAUACAGGGACAGUAGCA